rnacentral:tRNA from 1 species
AAGAAAGUGGCAGAGUGGUUAUGCAAUUGGCUUGAAACCAGUUAAUGGGGGUUCAAUUCCUUCCUUUCUCG